rnacentral:lncRNA from 1 species
CUCUAUGUAUUGGAGACAAUUAGCCACAAUUACAGACAAUAUUUUACUUUCUUAAAGUAUGUAACUCUUUCCAAUUCAAAUUUGUGGCAUUAUAGGUUGGCACAUGCCUCCAACACUUGUAUGGAUACUAUAAAGACUAGCUUUCCUUUUGUAACUUUCACUAAAAAUCAUAUUUGUGAUGUCUGCCAUUUAUCAAAACAGAAAAGACUAAGCUUCCCUAUUAGCCAAACACAAUCACUAUUUGUUUUUGACAUGAUACAUGUAGAUAUUUGAGGGCCCAUUUCAACCAUAUCUGUACAUGGACAUAAAAAAUUUCUAACCAUUAUUAAUGAUAAGUCAAGGUACACAUGGGUUUUUCUGCUUAAUAACAAAGGUGGGGCAAGAAAGAGGUUGCAAGACUUCAUCCUUAUGAUCACAACACAAUUCUCCAUCAAAGUUAAAAUUGUGAGAAGUGACAAUGGUGCUGAGUUUGCCAUGAAUUCUUUUUAUUCUGAGCAGGGCAUCAAACACCAAACAUCAUGUAAAUACACACCUCAAUAGAAUAGUAUGGUGGAAAGAAAACACCAACACUUGUUGAAUGUAGCAAGAGCACUCUUGAUUCAAAGCCAAGUUCCUAAGUUGUAUUGGUCCUAUGCUAUCCGACAUGUUGUGCACAUCAUCAACUUAUUGCCAACACUAGUCUUGCAACACAAAUCACCUAAUGAGGUCUUGUACAAGUCCAAACCUGACAUUGAGCACCUAAGAGUUUUUGGGUCACUCUGCUUCACAAGCACCCUGCCAAUUCACAGAUCUAAGCUUGAUCCCAAGGCAAGUAAGUGCAUAUUCCUAAGUUACAAAGAAGGAACAAAAGGUUAUGUGGUACUCCACUUGAAUUCCACGACACUUUGUGUGAGUAGAGAUGUAAUUUUCCAUGAAACAAUUUUCUCAUACCACACCUUAGCUUAAUAACUCCAGCUUGUAACCCAAGUGGCGAUAUACUCUGUAUUACUGUUCUUUUACAAUUGUAUGCAACUCUUUAACGUAAGCCUUUAUAAAGGCAUCUGUCUUGGAAGCAUCAAACUGGAACACGGCACAAAAUAAAUAUAAGGUUAAGAAAAUAUAAUAAUUAAAAGAGUAAAUUACACUAACACCUCCUGAAUUUUAGUGAAAUUACACAAAUCAUCCCUAACUUUUCUACACAUAUCCAAACCCCCUAAUUUUUAUACUUUUAUUGCACUUAUCACACCUGCAUGAGAAAUAAAUGUAAUAUUUCAAACAAAAAAUGUGAUAAAUGCAAUUAAGUUAAAAAAAUAUGGUAUAUUAUGGAGACAAGUCCAAAUAAUAUACAAAUCAAUGUAUCAUUAUUUAUUUUUUACAAAAUGCAUCACCAAUUCAAAAGAGAUAUUAUUUAAAUUACUCUUAUAUUAUAUCGUAACGAACCAUGAAUAAUAAAGAGUUAUUGACUCAUAUAUUAUUUGGACUUGUCUCUACGAUAUACCAUGUUUUGUUUAACUAAAUUGCAUUUAUCACAUUUUUUGUUUCAAAGAUUACACUUAUUCCAUGUGUAGGGGUGGUCACUAUAAUGAAAGUAUAAAAAUUUAUGAGGUUUGUGUAGGUGUACAAAAGUGAGAGGUGAUUUAUGUAAUUUCGCUAAAACUCGUGGGGUGUCAUUGUAAGUUACUCAAAAUAAAAUACGCUAGAGUAACGAUUCAACAACGCUCAUUUUUAGAUUCAACAAAGCCCGAAAGUGAUAUCUAUGUGAGCAUAGUAAAAUGUCGGUUUGUUCAACAACGCAAACACGAUCACUUAUUACAUUUAACAACAUUCAGCUAACAAGCGUUGUUGAAUGACCGUUGUUAAAUAUGAAUUUUUUUUAGUAUAUAUAUGUGUGCAAGAGAAGCUUACUAGUUGCAAUCAAUCUUAGAGUCAAGAUCAAAUGGUAAAUUGAUGUUGCACAACUUGGAGAGUUGUUUGGAACGGUCAUAAACAUUCACAAAGAGCUCUUCAAUUUUGAAUAGAUGUAGCUGCUUCGAAAAUUGAUUUAGCUCCUAAGCAACAAGAUGCAGAAGGUUGUCCAGGACCAGAUCCUUGUAAAAAUGGAACACAUGGCAAUAUAAGUGGUCCAGCGUCACCACAUGUUAUGUCAUUGAUUUGGCUUGUAUCGGAUGGAACAUCCAACAAACCCAAAAUCAUCACUCACAAGUGACAACAAAAAAAAGUUGCCACUGUUUUCUCCAUCAUCAUAUUUUUCAAUAUCUAUGCUUCUUUUAGUUUCCCUCAAGUUGAGAUUACAGAUUAGAUACAUCACUAAUUUAUAGCCAAAUUAUGUUGGAAAUGUAUAGCAAUCAAGUAAAUUUGAAUGAUAAAUAUAAAUAUAUUAAAUUUAAUUUAAAUAUUUUCUAUCUAUUUCCAUUAAUGUGAAAUAUUUUGUCAUAUAUAUACACUGACAUAAAUAUAGUUUAUGGCUUUAUGCAUAACUAAUAUAUUUUAUUAAUCAAUUAUUCAUUUGGGAAAUAUUAAUAAUGAAUUGGAAUAAUUUUAAAUUCGUUAAUAGUAUUUCCAAUAUGUUGGUAUAUUUCCAAAAAAAAAAUCUAUAUAGUCCAUGUACAUUUUAAAAUGUUGUUUCCAUAAACAGUUAAUAGCAUCAAAUGAAUAACAUCACACCUAUUACCAAGAUGUUGGUGUAAUAGUGUAAGAUCCUACUGGAUCUCCAAGGUCGAGGGUUCGAUUCCUGAGAGUGAUACUUGUUGAGAGGGGCAAUCUGAAUCCUGCAAAUAAUUAGUUCUUUACCAAAAAGAUGAGGGAAUAUUUUAGUAAUACAAACAAAUGAAAAACACAUUGUUACUGGUUGCAAAGGCCAAAUUAAAAUCACAAUAUGUUUUUGAUAAUCAACAUGCUCUAUUUGGGUGGUUUCUCUGAUUUUUUUUAUAAUCAACAUCCUCUAUUUGCAGAAUUAAAUGCGGCUUUGAUGGCGAUUCAAUUUGCUAAUCAAAAGGGGUGGAAUCAUAUCUGAUUGGAGUGUGACUCCCUUUUGGUUACUCAAAUGUUUAAUGGCUUAAUUAACAUUCAUUGGAAGCUCAUGAACAAAUGGCGAUUAUGCAAAGAUUUGAUGAACUCCAUGGAUUGCUGGAUCACACACAUUGGAGGGAAAUGCUUGUGCGGAUAGUCUUG